rnacentral:ncRNA from 3 species
AAUCACAUUGCCAGGGAUUUCCAAU